rnacentral:rRNA from 1 species
GAGGAAAGUGGCGGACGGGUGAGUAACGCGUGAGGAACCUGCCUUGAAGAGGGGGACAACAGUUGGAAACGACUGCUAAUACCGCAUAAUAUGUAGGAGUCGCAUGGCUCUUACAUCAAAGAUUUAUCGCUUCAAGAUGGCCUCGCGUCUGAUUAGCUGGUUGGCGGGGUAACGGCCCACCAAGGCGACGAUCAGUAGCCGGACUGAGAGGUUGAACGGCCACAUUGGGACUGAGAUACGGCCCAGACUCC